rnacentral:rRNA from 1 species
GAAUCUUCCGCAAUGGACGAAAGUCUGACGGAGCAACGCCGCGUGAGUGAAGAAGGUUUUCGGAUCGUAAAACUCUGUUGUCGGAGAAGAACAAGUAGGAGAUUAACUACUCCUACCUUGACGGUAACCGACCCGCAAGCCACGGCUAACUACGUGCCAGCAGCAGCGGUAAUACGAAGGUGGCAAGCGUUUUCCGGAUUUCUUGGGCGUAAAGCGAGCGCAGGUGGUUUCUUAAGUCUGAUGUGAAAGCCCACGGCUCAACCGUGGAAGGUCAUUGGAAACUGGGGAACUUGAAUGCAGAAGAGGAGAGUGGAAUUCCAUGUGUAGCGGUGAAAUGCGUAGAUAUAUGGAGGAACACCAGUGGCGAAGGCGACUCUCUGGUCUGUUAUUGACACCGAGGCUCGAAAGCGUGGGGAGCAAACA